GAUGAACGCUGGCGGCGUGCCUAAUACAUGCAAGUCGAGCGAACGGACGAGAAGCUUGCUUCUCUGAUGUUAGCGGCGGACGGGUGAGUAACACGUGGAUAACCUACCUAUAAGACUGGGAUAACUUCGGGAAACCGGAGCUAAUACCGGAUAAUAUUUUGAACCGCAUGGUUCAAAAGUGAAAGACGGUCUUGCUGUCACUUAUAGAUGGAUCCGCGCUGCAUUAGCUAGUUGGUAAGGUAACGGCUUACCAAGGCAACGAUGCAUAGCCGACCUGUGAGGGUGAUAGGCCACACGGGAACUGAGACACGGUCCAGACUCCUACGGGAGGCAGCAGUAGGGAAUCUUCCGCAAUGGGCGAAAGCCUGACGGAGCAACGCCGCGUGAGUGAUGAAGGUCUUCGGAUCGUAAAACUCUGUUAUUAGGGAAGAACAUAUGUGUAAGUAACUGUGCACAUCUUGACGGUACCUAAUCAGAAAGCCACGGCUAACUACGUG
rnacentral:rRNA from 1 species